CCUACGGGUGGCUGCAGUGAGGAAUAUUGGUCAAUGGGCGCGAGCCUGAACCAGCCAAGUCGCGUGAGGGAGGACGGCCCUACGGGUUGUAAACCUCUUUUGCCGGGGAGCAACGAGCGCCACGUGUGGCGUCACUGAUAGUACCCGGACAAAAAGCAUCGGCUAACUCCGUGCCAGCAGCCGCGGUAAUACGGAGGAUGCGAGCGUUAUCCGGAUUUAUUGGGUUUAAAGGGUGCGUAGGCGGAUCGUUAAGUCGGUGGUAAAUUUGAGGGGCUCAACCCCUUCCCGCCAUUGAUACUGGCGUUCUUGAGUGGAAGAGAAGUAUGUGGAAUGCGUGGUGUAGCGGUGAAAUGCAUAGAGAUCACGCAGAACCCCGAUUGCGAAGGCAGCAUGCCGGCUUCCGACUGACGCUGAAGCACGAAAGCGUGGGGAUCGAACAGGAUUAGAUACCCUUGUAGUC
rnacentral:rRNA from 1 species